rnacentral:rRNA from 1 species
UACGUAGGUGGCAAGCGUUGUCCGGAUUUACUGGGCGUAAAGGGCGUGCAGGCGGUCUGUUAAGUGCAGGGUGAAAGCUCCCGGCUCAACUGGGAGAGGUCCUUGCAUACUGGCGGACUUGAGGGGGGUAGAGGAAAGUGGAAUUCCCGGUGUAGUGGUGAUAUGCGUAGAUAUCAGGAGGAACACCGGUGGCGAAGGCGGGUCUCUGGGCCGAUACUGACGCUGAGGAGCGAAAGCGUGGGGAGCGAACAGG